rnacentral:rRNA from 1 species
CACGUAGGGUGCGAGCGUUGUCCGGAAUUAUUGGGCGUAAAGAGCUCGUAGGCGGUGUGUCGCGUCGGCCGUGAAAACCUGCAGCUCAACUGUGGGCUUGCGGUCGAUACGGGCAUCACUGGAGUUCGGCAGGGGAGACUGGAAUUCCUGGUGUAGCGGUGAAAUGCGCAGAUAUCAGGAGGAACACCGGUGGCGAAGGCGGAUCUCUGGGCCUUACCUGACGCUCAGGCGCGAAAGCUAGGGGAGCGAACAGG